CUUGCGAACGUGCCGACAGCGUCCCCCGUCUCUCAGCUAGCCUCUUGUGAUGUACGCAGCGGGCUGACCCCUCCUCCUCCUCCUCCUCCUCCUCUUUCUCGGCGUCCCACGGCUUUACACCUGUGACGGAGUCACCGGGAGCUCUCUCUGUUUCACAGAUGGGACCCUCUUACUAACGGAAAAAUGCCACGGCAACAGGGGCCAGACGAGGUGGAGCCCGUCAGAUGUGGGACUGGACGGCGGCGUCCUAAUUAGAGCGGCGUGGUGUGAGGGCGACUGGAGGGCCGCAGUAUUACCGCGGAGGACACAAGCAUUUCAUCACGCACUCCCCGGCUUUCGGCCUUCCGUAGCCGCGAGAGUCGGUCCCAGGUGGUUUCCGUCACGGUGACCACACACUGUAACUGCUUCGAUCAAAGGUUAAAAGUGCAAGACACCCUUUCUCUUUUUUUCAAGCUGCUUUAUUGAUUCAUAACAUGUGGUAGAAAUGAUUUGUCUGCCCAGCUGUCAGUACUCCUGCUGUUACCAGGUUUGAUUGUUUUAAGUCUUUGCACGCCGCUGAAAAACUGGACUAAUCAGCGGUCCAGAUUCAAUAUGUACGUAAUGUUCUUUGUUCUUAAAAAGAUUUGAUGGAAUGGAAUAUUAAUAGAAUUGUAAGCAUUGGUCUGACAGUGACGUGUUUCCUGACCAUGGAAAUACACACUUUUGGUGGACACCAGCAUACUUUAAUUUGUCACUGAAAGAUUAAAUUUGGCAACAGCACAGUUUUCAGGCCACCUUUGUUCAAUUGUAUGACAGAAGUAAAAUGCUUUGCAGUAGGAUAACAGUAUCUUGUAGUCGUCAAGCAACACAUCAGAGGAACUAUGCAAUAACCAAAUAUCUGUGUUCUGAAAAAUGAAUGCACCCUCCAUCAUUUUUUGGUUUGUUUUUGUGAGAGAUAUCUAAUUCAGCCUCAAAGGUAUAUUGUUUUCUGCUAUGUAGACCAAUUUUAUUGAAUUGAUAUCAAAUAAGAUUCAUAUGCUGCCGUAUUUCUGCUAGUACUGUAAAUGUGGCCACCUGUAAACAAUGAAAUCUUAGAGUAAUGCAAAUAUGCAUUUUUGGACAUUCUA